UCUCACUUUCCUCCCACCAGGUUCCCCGCACUUGGGGGCCAGGCGGGGAUGGAGCCAGUCACUCCGGCCUGGCCAGCCUGCCCCCUCCUCUCCCAGGUGAAAAGUGCUCCCAGAUGAGUCGGCUCCCUUUCCUUUCCUUCUUCCAGCUGUCACCUCGGCUCGUGGCCACCUUCCCAUCCGGCAGAGAAACGUAUGCAAAGCACAGGGGAUCUGGAUUUACGAAGACUGUGACUUUAAAUCCCCGGCCGUGUGACCUUGAGCAAAUUGCUCAACCUCUAGGCGUCUUUUUCUUCAUCCGGGGAUUCGAAAGGAAAUGAGGCCGGGACGCUCCGUGCUUCUCAGCCCGCCGCCCUUCCUGUCUCGGGACACGGUUUCUAAAUAAGUUUUCUUAUAUUGGCAAAUAGACCUGGCUGAGGCAGAUGACGGAAUCAACAUUUUUCUGAUAUUUGGCACUGCACCAGAACAGUGUUGGGCACACAGAAGCUGCAUUGUCUCCAGCCAUCGUCAUCAUCUCCUGAGGAAGACGACUCCAGUAGCCUGUUAAAGAGAUGAAGAAACUGAGGCUAGAACAAAAGUGAUAGUUAGAAAAUAAAAGCUCAGUCAAACCAAGGACUCAAAGGCGGCCUUUCAACAAUGGGGAAAGAGUUGUUUCUCCAGAAAAUUUUCUAGUGGGAAACCUACACACUCAA